GCGCCGGUGGUGUAAAGGCGUAGAGCAUUCCCGCCCGGUCAGAGGGAGGUGCGGGUUCGAGUCCCGCCUGGCUCU
rfam:Heligmosomoides polygyrus genome assembly, scaffold: HPBE_scaffold0008046